rnacentral:rRNA from 1 species
UACGUAGGGUGCAAGCGUUAAUCGGAAUUACUGGGCGUAAAGCGUGCGUAGGUGGUUUACUAAGUCAGGUGUGAAAUCCCCGGGCUCAACCUGGGAACUGCGCUUGAUACUGGUAAACUAGAGUUUAGUAGAGGGAAGUGGAAUUCCACGUGUAGCGGUGAAAUGCGUAGAUAUGUGGAGGAACAUCGAUGGCGAAGGCAGCCUCCUGGGAUAUCACUGACGCUCAUGCACGAAAGCGUGGGGAGCAAACAGG